UAUUUUCAGCGAUGGAUGUCUUGGCUCGCGCAACGAUGAAGGACGCAGUGAAAUGCGAAACGCAGUGUGAAUUGCAGAAUUCAGGGAAUCAUCAGAUUUCUGAACGCAAAUGGCGCUGUUGGGAUAUUCCUUGCAGCACGUCUGUUUCAGUGUCC
rnacentral:rRNA from 1 species